UCUGUAGGUGGCCAACUAAGUCAGACGUGAAAUCCCUCAGCUUAACUGGGGAACUGCGUCUGAGACUGGAUGGCUUGAGUGCAGGAGAGGAACGCGGAAUUCCAGGUGUAGCGGUGAAAUGCGUAGAUAUCUGGAGGAACACCGGUGGCGAAGGCGGCGUUCUGGACUGCUACUGACACUGAGAGACGAAAGCCAGGGGAGCAAACG
rnacentral:rRNA from 1 species